rnacentral:rRNA from 1 species
GUAGGGUGCGAGCGUUAAUCGGAAUUACUGGGCGUAAAGCGUGCGCAGGCGGUUUUGUAAGCCAGAUGUGAAAUCCCCGGGCUUAACCUGGGAAUGGCAUUUGGGACUGCAAGGCUGGAGUUUGGCAGAGGAGACUGGAAUUCCUGGUGUAGCAGUGAAAUGCGUAGAUAUCAGGAGGAACACCGAUGGCGAAGGCAGGUCUCUGGGCUGAAACUGACGCUCAUGCACGAAAGCGUGGGGAGCAAACAGGAUUAGAUACCCUGGUAGUCCACGCCCUAAACGAUGUCGACUGGUUGUUGGGGGUUUGACACUCUCAGUAACGAAGCUAACGCGUGAAGUCGACCGCCUGGGGAGUACGGCCGCAAGGUUA